rnacentral:rRNA from 1 species
AACGCAGCGAAGGGCGAUACGUAAUGUGAAUUGCAGAAUUCAGUGAAUCAUCGAAUCUUUGAACGCACCUUGCGCCCCUUGGUAUUCCGAGGGGCACACCCGUUUGAGUGUCGUGAAUAUCUCAACCUUCUCGGUUUCUUCUGGAUGCCGAAGGAGGCUUGGACUUUGGAGGCCUCUGCUGGCAUCUUUUGAAGGCCAGCUCCUCUCAAAUGAAUUAGCGGGGUCCUCUUUGCCAACCCUCGACAUGUGAUAAGAUGUUUCCAUGUCUUGGUUUAUGGCUCUGUUGCUUUUGGGACCCGCUUCUAAUCGUCUCAAUGACAACGUUUGAGAGCGUCUCCCUUCUCGGGAAACCCUCUCGAACCCACGAACCCUUGACCUCAAAUCGGGUGAGACUACCCGCUGAACUUAA